CACACCGAAACUGCGGACUUGUUCUUUUAGAACAAGUGGUAGCGGAGCGUUCCGUAAGCCUGUGAAGGUGUGCCGUAAGGCAUGCUGGAGGUAUCGGAAGCGAGAAUGCUGACAUGAGUAGCGAUAAAGGGAGUGAGAACCUCCCUCGCCGAAAGCCCAAGGGUUCCUGCGCAAGGCCAAUCCGCGCAGGGUGAGUCGGCCCCUAAGACGAGGCAGAAAUGCGUAGUCGAUGGGAAACGGGUUAAUAUU
rnacentral:rRNA from 12 species